GCUGGCUCCUUCGGGGUCCGCAUUGUAAUUUGUAGAGGAUGCUUCGGGAGCGGUCCCCAUCUAAGUGCCCUGGAACGGGACGUCAUAGAGGGUGAGAAUCCCGUAUGGGAUGGGGUGUCCGCGCCCGUGUGAAGCUCCUUCGACGAGUCGAGUUGUUUGGGAAUGCAGCUCUAAAUGGGUGGUAAAUUUCAUCUAAAGCUAAAUAUUGGCCGGAGACCGAUAGCGCACAAGUAGAGUGAUCGAAAGAUGAAAAGCACUUUGAAAAGAGAGUUAAAAAGCACGUGAAAUUGUUGAAAGGGAAGCGCUUGCGACCAGACUCGCUCGCGGGGUUCAGCCGGCAUUCGUGCCGGUGUACUUCCCCGCGGGCGGGCCAGCGUCGGUUUGGGCGGUCGGUCAAAGGCCCUCGGAAGGUAACGCCCCUAGGGGCGUCUUAUAGCCGAGGGUGCAAUGCGACCUGCCUAGACCGAGGAACGCGCUUCGGCUCGGACGCUGGCAUAAUGGUCGUAAACGA
rnacentral:rRNA from 1 species